GACGAACGCUGGCGGCGUGCUUAACACAUGCAAGUCGAACGGAAAGGCCCUGCUUUUGUGGGGUGCUCGAGUGGCGAACGGGUGAGUAACACGUGAGUAACCUGCCCUUGACUUUGGGAUAACUUCAGGAAACUGGGGCUAAUACCGGAUAGGAGCUCCUGCUGCAUGGUGGGGGUUGGAAAGUUUCGGCGGUUGGGGAUGGACUCGCGGCUUAUCAGCUUGUUGGUGGGGUAGUGGCUUACCAAGGCUUUGACGGGUAGCCGGCCUGAGAGGGUGACCGGCACAAUGGGAACGGGGUAACGGCCAGGCUCCUUCGGGGGGGAAGAGGUGGGGAAAAUGGAAAAUGGGGGGGAGGCUUGAUGAAGCACCGCGGGGUGCGGGAUGAGGGCCUUCGGGUUGUAACCGGCUUUGGCUUGUACGAAGGGGUAGGUGCGGUAAAUGGGAAAAGAAGACCCGCCAACUUCGGG
rnacentral:rRNA from 1 species